rnacentral:lncRNA from 1 species
CAGCCUUUUCCAACCAUAUUUUACAUCUCAAAUAUCUCGAAAAGGAGGUCCAAAACUUAUCAAUAUUUUUUGCUUAUCUUUAUCCUUAAUUGAUGCUCUACCAGCUUAUAGUAUCAAUUUUAAUUUCUUAAUUUCUUAAUUUUACCUAACCUCACUUAAGUACAUCCUUAUUAUCAGGGACAAUAACAUAACAGCACUACACCAUACAUGGGUAUACUUGUAACCUUAAAUGGUGAAAUGUGUAAAGAAUACAAACUGUAUGAUCAUUAUAAUCAUUGAGAAGGCAGCACAUGUAAACGGAUAAGUCUGAGCAACAUGACAACAUCAAAAACAAACAAAUAUUAAGAUUACAGUAUCUAUAUAUGCUGUCAUCAUGCACGAAACCAUGUAAACUGCAGGUGCCAUUGGGAUACAUACAUAAACAAUAAAAACGAC